AGUUUUGUAGUAUAGGUGCUAAUACUGUAAACUGCAACUUUACCAACGCUAAGGCCAAAACUU
rnacentral:tRNA from 1 species